AGUGAACGCUGGCGGUAGGCCUAACACAUGCAAGUCGAACGGCAGCACAGUAAGAGCUUGCUCUUACGGGUGGCGAGUGGCGGACGGGUGAGGAAUACAUCGGAAUCUACUUUUUCGUGGGGGAUAACGUAGGGAAACUUACGCUAAUACCGCAUACGACCUACGGGUGAAAGCAGGGGUUCUUCGGAACUUGCGCGAUUGAAUGAGCCGAUGUCGGAUUAGCUAGUUUGCGGGGUAAAGGCCCACCAAGGCGACGAUCCGUCGCUGGUCUGAGAGGAUGAUCAGCCACACUGGAACUGAGACACGGUCCAGACUCCUACGGGAGGCGACAGUGGGGAAUAUUGGACAAUGGGCGCAAGCCUGAUCCAGCCAUACCGCGUGGGUGAAGAAGGCCUUCGGGUUGUAAAGCCCUUUUGUUGGGAAAGAAAAGCAGCAGGUUAAUACCCCGCUGUUCUGACGGUACCCAAAGAAUAAGCACCGGCUAACUUCGUG
rnacentral:rRNA from 1 species